CACGUAGUUAGCCGGGGCUUCUUAGUCAGGUACCGUCAUUAUCUUCCCUGCUGAUAGAGCUUUACAUACCGAAAUACUUCUUCACUCACGCGGCGUCGCUGCAUCAGGGUUUCCCCCAUUGUGCAAUAUUCCCCACUGCUGCCGCCCGUAGGAGUCUGGGCCGUGUCUCAGUCCCAAUGUGGCCGUUCACUCUCUCAAGCCGGCUACUGAUCGUCGCCUUGGUAGGCCCGUUACCCCACCAACAAGCUAAUCAGACGCGGGUCCAUCUCACAGCGAUAAAUCUUUGAAAGGAUCGUCAUGCGGCAAUCCCUUGUUAUGCGGUAUUAGCAGCCGUUUCCGGCUGUUGUCCCCCUCUGUGAGGCAGGGUUACCCACGCGUUACGUUCACCCGUCCCGCCGACCUCACGUCACUUACCUACUCUUCCCUCCGAAACGUUACGUCCGGUACGCGCUUCGUUCGUACUUCGUCACUGUGUUAGUACACGACCGCC
rnacentral:rRNA from 1 species